CAACUACUUCGUAUGAGAGGUUUAAUGUUGCAUUCAAAAUAAAUGAAUGAGAACAUUGUAUAAAAUGAACUCAGCAAACCUAUGUUUUAUUUCUCGGCUAUUUUAUGGCUACGAAAUAAUGGAAAUGGGCUGGCUACUCCCCUCAAUCUUGUGCUCCAUUCUCAGCCUUCCAAAUCAUACUUUAUGAAAUAAAGUAGUGGUCCAGGCACUCAAGUUAAUAGCAAAACAGCAG